UGGUGUGGAAAAUGGUGGCUGGUGGUGUGGGAAUGGUGACUGCGGUGGUGUGAGUGUUGGGUGGCUGUAGGUUCCAACUGUUUAGAGAUCAAAGAGCAUGACUCAAACCGUCAACCGUGUGACGUUGGGUUGAAAAUGUUAGUUGUACACCAGCAACAGCACCAAGGGGAAUACUACUCGCACAGCAGCAAUGAGGGAAUAUUAUUCGUACACAAGCAAGAGUAGGGAGGGGAACAAAUUACUCCUACUCCAGUAACGGCAACGAGGGAAAAAGCCGUUAACAAAUAUCAGCAGCAGCAGCAGCCUGCGGAUCACCGAGGGCCAACAAUGCGGCUGCAGGUCGGCACAAGUAAGACGCAUGUUCCCCACCGUCGCUGAUAUCGUCGAGGGCGCCACAGGAAAUGCUAGACAUCGAAAGUAGCGACUUCCUUGACCUGCCCACCCCUCCCCCCAACUGACAUCAUAACUUAGAAAAACAAAGCGCCAAGAUGGAGAUCAGCCCACAAUGACCACUGUCCACACAACGAGGUCCUUAAAGCCGCCUCUCUAAACUUAUAUCACCUUUCAUCAAAGCACUUGCUGUAGGUCACAUGACUCACAUCACCUUUCAUCAAAGCACUUGUUACAGGUUUCGCUCGAAUUUCUCCACCACCACCUCCCACACCAUUUUUAUAUCGCUAUUUGCAUCAUAAUAGGGACACAGGGAGGAAAGUGUUGACUGCCACAUUUCAGAAAGAUGUUUGUAAUGCUCUUGUAAAGUUCAAGCUACAGGUCAGGUCACAACUGACGACAUGGCGCCGGCUGACAUUGUGCUGUCUGUAGGCGCCCAUUGUUUCUAAAGCAAUCAAACAAAUAUGAUGCACACACAUGGAUAGUAUACAAACACUGUAUCAACUUUAAACAAAACACAACACCUGCACAUCCCCCGCACAGUUCUCAGUCUUGAAAUCAAAGCAUGUCCAGCUAAAUGUUUAUCGCCCACACCACUCGACUCAACAAAAAUGUCCACCUGACCGCAUGAGGACGACCUGCUGACUGCGGACAAAAGACAAAGAACAAAGGACAGGUCGGUGACUCGCGACGACUGACGGAGGGAUGAAAGGCUGCACGGCCACUGAUGUGGUGGUGGUGGUGGUGGUGGUGGUGGUAGUGGUAAGACAGUGUCAGACAUCUACGUCCAGCACGUGACACAUCUUACAAACAUACCUCAGUGAAAUCUCGCAGAUGAGACAACAAUGUCAAUCGUUCUCUCACACUCACACACACACACAAACACACACACAAACACACACGCCACUGUCUUGUGUUGCUUGUAAUGCUGCACUGUGCGUCCUCACCUAUCGUCAUCGUCAGCUGUAUCUCGGGUCUGUUGCCACUCAGGGCGCAGCACUUAAGUCGACUUAAGCUGCCGCUCGUUGCCCCCGAGGUCUUAAUGCUGAGCCCCGGCAGCUACGCAGGUCGCAUCAGGUUGCCGCUGCCGCUCGGAAGGUCACGUGUUCACAGAUAUCGGGGUAUCUGGCGCCACUGCCGCAGCCGAGACACGCUAACCGUCUGUUCGCGGAGCUAAGUGCCGACCAUGUGUUGUCUCCAGCGUUGGCGAGGUGUCAAAGGUCACGAUAUCAUUCAAGCAGCGCGUAGACAGGCUCACCCAACCGUGAAAUCUGAGGUCUCACCCCUUUUCUACGCAUGUGCGUGUGGCGGGGGGGAGAGGCAGAGACAAAAAGAAAAGAUAGAUGAUGACAAUCCAGAUGACCUAACGGUCCUAACCCAUAUAACAGGUGUACUGAGCACCUUACAAUGACCCUGGUCUGCUUACAUCUGACUACAGAAAGUCGGACUGGAAAAGUUUAUUGUUGGUCAAGUCCACAUUCUCUCGCACAGUCACACAUACUCAUUUAUAGACUCGCGAAUUCUAUCUACCGUGGAUGGGUGUUGCGGGUGGAGGUUUGGAUUUGAGGCUACAAAGUCCUCGUCCCACCCUGAAGAGUGAUAUCUCAGUACCCGGGUAAAGCGCCGUUGCUACCCAUGACGUGCUGUAGCCACCCGAAGACCUACUCACAUUGCACCAUAUGUCUCGCUUCUCGCCACCCGACUUCCAUGUAGCGGGUAAGAGGGCGGGGCUCACCAUGACGGUUGUCUCCACAUUCGCCUGUGGGUACCAGAUUGUGCAGAUUCAGCGAUUUCAGAGAAGAGCAGCGCUGGGGGACCCUCACAGCAGCCACCCCGACGCUGGUAGCAAAGGUACAGAGGGUACAGACGGCUUGGGGUGUCGACACGCUGGCGACGGCCGCAUACCCAGCAGGCACCGCGCGACACAAGGCACCCCUUGUUCCAACAGCAGACAACUCCUUGCCGUGACUUCCCCACGCUAUCCACCAACUGCCGGAAACGGGCAAGGGAGCUAAAGCAGCCAGCGGCUGGAUGGAAGGAAGGGGAUAGAAGUCAAGGAAGGUGCAGAGGAUGUCGUAAAACUCUUCUUCCCUCGGUUAUCAGCUCGCGGCACGCGCGCGUGUGUGCUUGGGACAAGUGCUUGGCGAGCUGCGUCUGCCUCCUGUGAAUUCAGAUCCUAUAAGCUAUUAAAAUGUUGUCUACAGACGACCCUGACAGUGACGUCACGCUACCCACAGGAUGAGUGAUGUGGCCUUGGGAGCACCACGAGGCCUGGUGCCAGGCGGAUUCCUCACGAGCAGCGAGCAGAGUCUGCAACCAUCGCCAAGUCGGCAACACAAACAUUUCCGCCUGUCGUCCAGUGAUGGUCACCCACACGGGGUCAUCUGUCAGGUCACCCACGCUGAAGCCAUCCAGUGACGGAGCUGUUAAACGGAUCAUUCACAUAACUGACACAAGGGCCAUCCAUUGACGAACCACACACAGGGGUCAUUUGGUGACGGACCUGUUCCACAGGUCACUCAGGGAUCUGUCGCUCUGUUUUCUUGCUAGACUUCGGUCAAGCCGACCCCAGGGUUUGGGUGACUGUGUCCCACACCCAUCCUUUCUUUUAACCAAAAUAUACAGGAUUAAUGGCGAGGCGGGCGAGUCUGUUAAGCACAAACACAAGUGGAGACUAUCGCCCCACGUGACUAAACGACGCAAAUAAUGCUUGGCGAGGGUCCGACCACAACACUCGGCGUGUACUAACGACCAACCACACUUAACACGCCAACAAGUUGACAAUGGUCAGCAGCUGACCACUAUGCCAAGUUAACAAGAAACCAACAGAUGUUUUCUUCUGCUGACCACCAGAAAAGUCAUUAGUUUUUCAAGACGACUGUCGAGAGCGCAGUGCAAAGCACGCAGAGUGAGUGGUCCAUCAGACAAGCCAACAGGAAACAUCGAGGGUCUCAUCCCUGCACACAGCCAUGUUGGCUAGUUGGUUGUGCCAGACUGUGAAGACGGCUAAAUGCUGGCUUAUUUUCUUACCUGAUAAUGAAGAUUACAUUGCCGGUGUGGCUGGCUUUGCUGACAUGUUAAUGACACGACUGCUAGCUUCUGUAAUUUGGCGGAAGUGACGACCUGCGCCAGUCUGUCUUCGUUCUUGUCGGCUAAGGUGCAACAUGGCAGAACUGCAGUUACAGGAAACGUGAUCAACUAUAUUUUACCAUUUCCGUAAGACGAAAAAAAAAAGAAGAAAACGAAAAUGUGUAAAUGUGUGUACAUCUUGGAAAAAGCACACGAGCAACUGAAUUUUACAGCCUUAAAAAUCCAGUGAGCUGAUGAAGGCUGUGAACAGUUGUGCUAAGUGCACCCAUGUCCAAGCAGGUCCAAGCCCAGCCUGUAUUAAAGUAGUCCCAUGUCAGUCAACGACUGCUAAAUCCCGAGUCUAUCCCCCUUACGGCGAGCACACUAACAAACAUCUUGAAAAUAAAGCAAAAAAAAUAAAUAAAUAAAUGAGGUGGUGGAGGAAGGCGGGUUUGCAAGCCACUAGCCGGGUGCGCUGUAAGCCUGGGAACUGCGCCUGGCGCCUCUUCGCAUGCCCUGACGGGUGCCAGAGAAUGACAACCAUGUCUGCAAGAAAUAGUUUUCGCUUCAGCUUGUAUUGUUGGGGUACGAUGUGCAUGGCUUUGCUGCGUUUUUCAAUUUGAGAAAGUCAGACGCUGGAGCGUUUUUAGCCGCGCGGCGCCACAACGUGUUGCGUCUGCCCCCCGACGCCGCGCUGUCGCCACCUUUUUAUACCCGCCCUACCCCACCCACCACUCCCACCACCACCACCACCACCACACCUCGCGCUCCACUGUUUCUGAGACGUUGACACUCUCCAAAUGUCAUGUAAUCCAUAAGAUGGAGGGAAUCUUGGUGUUGGCAGCUCGGCAACGCACGACAUAGUCGAUGUGGUCGCUGAUGUCGUCUGUUAUUGACGCCGAUAACACAACCACCACCGCCACGUGUGUCUGUAGGGAAAUGCAAGAGUAUUAACUAUCACUGACUACGAUGUUUACUACUGCAGACUACAACAUGACAUAUAGUGUGUCAGCCACCACUAAUGACCAUCGUGACUUCUUUCUACUUAGGCUGUGUAUGUAGGAUGUGAGCUCCAUAACUACCACUUCUAAACUACACACACUUUCAAACAAUACGAGUAUAGUGAUGUAGUUCUGAAAGAAGUGCCUUGGAGCAUUUACAAGAUGGUUUACACAAGGACCCUCAAGGAGACCACAUGAGGUAGUGCUGAUGAUUUGGCUGUGUUGACUGUCUGGCUCUGUCAGGUUACCACAAGACACUUGCUUUAAAAAAAAAUCCUGCUUUCCCAGUAUUUGGUAUUGCCCAGGGCUGAUGUUAGCCUCAUCAUAGAAUGUUGUACAAUGUACUAUUUUAUGUAAAAACCUAUUUAUUUAUGACAUUAUCCCACUGGAUUAACAUUUAGUAUUCAUCGCCUAAAAAUAGCAUUAAGGCUCCAACUUAAUUUUUAUUCUUUAAACUUUUACAAUGGUGUUUUAAAUUUUCUUCAUUGUCACAGAGUAUCACAAUUUACAGUCUGCUCCUAAUUAAUCCCUUUUUUUUCUUACUGCAUAUAUGUACAAAAGUAUUCUGUUCCUCUAAUUUGUCCUUGAUGAAAUAGUGGAAGAAAAUAAUUAGAAUGUUAUUUUCAUGUCACAAGUUUUAUGUUAAUUAGUAAAAAUAGUGAUUUAAUCAAAGUCAAACAUAUCUAUAGCUAUAUGCCGUGAAGCAGGAAAAACAUGUUAAUCUCAGUCUCUCAUGUCAAGCAUGGGUACAAAAAGUUAAGGCGUAGUCUACUACUGUCACAGAAUGAUCAAUUUUUUGUGUUUUUUUUGUCUGCAGUGAUCAUAUCUACACUGACCUGAAAUUUUUAUUACUAUGAUGUUGAAAUAUGGUGUGGUUACUGCAAGUGUUGUUAUUACUAUAUUUACUAGACUGGUGUUCAUAUUUGUUAGUACGGAUGUGUAAGCCUGAUGCUGGUUUUUACAACCAAAUGAAAAAUGUGAAAUCACUUUCAAACACAAAUACAAAUUCCUCUGGAUGUUAUUUAGUGCAACAAAGCCUUGAGAAGUUGUUCUCUAGCAUUUGCUCAGGUUCUUGCUGAGUUCCCUCUUGGCCCUAAUUUUUCAAACUAGCAUACAUACAUAUAACGCAAGCAUCUGAAUAUGAGAGACAGAGAAAGCAAAAAAAGAAUAUUCAACAGUAUGACCUCAGAACAAAUGCAUGAAACAUGUAACCAUGCUGCUGCGACUUGGAAAAGGCGAUUAAUCCUGGGAUCAGUAUACAGGGCUAAAAGCUAGUACUCAUAUCCAAUGAUUACAAUGACUUUACUAUGAAAAGGUAAUCAACAUGCUUUCUUGCCCAUCAUAUAUUGUACACCACAGUUUGCUCAAGAUCUGAAAUAUGCUGUUAUGCAGGAUUUUUGGGGUGGGGGACUAUUAUACUAUGUGUUUGAUUCUAGUAUUAUACAAUUACUAGAAUAAGCAACUACUAGUGCAUGUACACACGCACACUACUCCAUGAAUAUUCAGUCUGCUAUGUAACUAUGUGCUCAGAACUAUGCAUUUCAAGAUGUGUCCAUACACCACCAAAUCUCAAAGUGUUCAAUACACAUUUAUGCAUCCAUUUUAAUGUUUACAUGCACCUAAAUAUAUAUUGAUUAAGUAUGCCGCAUUUAAGUCAUAUAGACAUCUUAAACUGAACAGAAGUUUAGUGUCUCAGUGAGUCUUGUAUUCCAUGUCAAGAUUUCAUUUCUUACUCAAUCUCUCACACACAUACAGUGUAAU